rnacentral:rRNA from 1 species
UACGGAGGGAGCUAGCGUUGUUCGGAAUUACUGGGCGUAAAGCGCGCGUAGGCGGCUUUGUAAGUUAGAGGUGAAAGCCCGGGGCUCAACCCCGGAAUUGCCUUUAAGACUGCAUCGCUUGAAUCCGGGAGAGGUGAGUGGAACUGCGAGUGUAGAGGUGAAAUUCGUAGAUAUUCGCAAGAACACCAGUGGCGAAGGCGGCUCACUGGCCCGGUACUGACGCUGAGGUGCGAAAGCGUGGGGAGCAAACAGG